GGAAGCUCUUAUCAAUGCUGUCAAAGACUAUUUGUUUCUUUACAAUAAGCGGCACCCCGACCACAAGGAUCGGGGCAAAAAAUUGCAGGCCUAAAACGAGAUCGGCGACAUUUUCGGCAUGGCAGGUGUUCGUCGAGUACCGCAACCAAGGUGACAACUUGUAGAAGUGGAAGUGACAUUCUUCAAUUUUUUGGGAAAUACCUCAUACUUCGAGCAGGUGGAUGGCAAAGUAUGCCUGUUGCAUUCUUAGGGAAAUAUAUAUUAAAACUGACACUGACCA